CGACCGUAUGAUUAAUAGGGACAGUCGGGGGCAUCAGUAUUCAAUCGUCCAAGGUGAAAUUCUUGGAUCGAUUGAAAACUAACUACUGCGAAAGCUUUUGCCAAGGAUGUUUUCAUUAAUCAGGAACGAAAGUUAGGGGAUCGAAAACGAUCAGAUACCGUUGUAGUCUUAACCAUAAACUAUGCCGACUAGGGAUCGGGCGGUGUUAUUUCUUGACCCGCUCGGCACCUUACACAAAAGUAAAGUUUUUGGGUUCUGGGGGGAGUAUGGUCGCAAGGCUGAAACUUAAAGAAAUUGACGGAAGGGCACCACAAGGGGUGGAGCCUGCGGCUUAAUUUGACUCAACACGGGGAAACUCACCAGGUCCAGACACAACUAGGAUUGACAGAUUGAGAGCUCUUUCUUGAUUUUGUGGGUGGUGGUGCAUGGCCGUUCUUAAUUGGUGGAGUGAUUUGUCUGCUUAAUUGCGAUAACGAACGAAACCUUAACCUGCUAAAUAGCCCGUGCCGCCUAGGCGGCACGCCGGCUUCUUAAAGGGACUAUCGGCUCAAGCCGAUGGAAGUUUGAGGCAAUAACAGGUCUGUGAUGCCCUUAAAUGUUCUGGGCCGCACGCGCGCUACACUGACAGAGCCAGCGAGUUCCUCCUUGGCCGGAAGGCCCGGGUAAUCUUGUGAAACUCUGUCGUGCUGGGG
rnacentral:rRNA from 1 species